GACGAACGCUGGCGGCGUGCUUAACACAUGCAAGUCGAACGAUGAAGCCUUUCGGGGUGGAUUAGUGGCGAACGGGUGAGUAACACGUGGGUAAUCUGCCCUGCACUCUGGGAUAAGCCCGGGAAACUGGGUCUAAUACCGGAUAUGACUUUCUUACGCAUGUAGGAAGGUGGAAAGUUCCGGCGGUGCAGGAUGAACCCGCGGCCUAUCAGCUUGUUGGUGGGGUAAUGGCCUACCAAGGCGACGACGGGUAGCCGGCCUGAGAGGGCGACCGGUCACACUGGGACUGAGACACGGCCCAGACUCCUACGGGAGGCAGCAGUGGGGAAUAUUGCACAAUGGGCGAAAGCCUGAUGCAGCGACGCCGCGUGAGGGAUGACGGCCUUCGGUUGUAACC
rnacentral:rRNA from 1 species